CCCAGGAAGUGACCUCACUUCCUUGACAAUGGACCAACAGACCAAACAGAACUUGGAGCCCCGGAAGCUGGCGCGGUCCAGUUACUCGUGCAGAGACUGACACAUGAGGACUAUGUGGUCGUGUUGUUUCCCAAAUUGCCUAGGCUCAGGCCACAGGAGAUGGUGGAGUGGGGGCCUUGCCCACACGUGGACACUCUGGGACAGCUGUCACCCCCGGGCGCCUCUGGGGAAGGAACGCAAAGAUAACUAAGGUGGCACAGGACAGCCCAGAGCAGGUACCUUCUUCCAGCCCAACUGUGAGGAGGACAAGCAAAACAAGAGUGCCCUGUGCUCCCUCCUGGAGACCUGGUUGGUCAAAUACCCAGGAGACUUCUGCCAGUGCCCAGACCUGGCCAGCCUGAAGCAGCUCAUGGCCUAUGCGCUCAUCAACCUGCCUGACUCGGACCUUGUUCUGCAAGUGGACAGACUCCUGACCCAAUUAGAACCCCUCUGAGGAGGAGCCCGAGGACUAGCGUCCAACCUGCAAUCCGCUGCAGCAGGUGUCAAGAGAGACUCAGGAGCAAAAGGAGGGAGGGAGCCUGCAGCAGCUUUUCUGACACCUCGAGAUCUGGAGCCAGGAGCCAGGAGCCAGAACAGACAGCAGCAGCCAAGACUGACUCCUUGCACUUGGCAGCUCCUGGUCCAGCUGCAGUGCCUUCCCUCCCCUCACCUGGGAAAGUCAUCUUUUGUUUUUUUUCUGAUUUUCCUAUCCAUGUUUGGAUAGGAAAUUUUAUUUUAAUAAAUUUAAUAAAAUUCUAUUGUAAAAUAUUUAACUGUUCAUCUAUUUCAAAAAUCCGUAUCUAGGGGCACUCAAUCCUCCGGCCAUGCCGAGCACCCCACACCACUGUCCAGCUGCUGCCCUGAACCCCUAGCAGAGCCCCUGGGUCCUGUGGGGAGGACACUCG
rnacentral:lncRNA from 1 species